UACGGAGGGUGCAAGCGUUAUCCGGAUUCACUGGGUUUAAAGGGUGCGUAGGUGGGUUGGUAAGUCAGUGGUGAAAUCUCCGGGCUUAACUCGGAAACUGCCGUUGAUACUAUCAAUCUUGAAUGUUGUGGAGGUAAGCGGAAUAUGUCAUGUAGCGGUGAAAUGCUUAGAUAUGACAUAGAACACCGAUAGCGAAGGCAGCUUGCUACACAAUAAUUGACACUGAGGCACGAAAAGCGUGGGGAUCAAACAGG
rnacentral:rRNA from 1 species